AUUGCUGAAGAUGGAAGGAGAUCUGGAGCUGGUCGUGGCUACUGAAGAGGGCAGAGACCUGAUGCAUCAUUUUAGGAGGAGUAGAGGAUCACCUUUUGCCAGUCCUCCAGUGGAGAGUGGUCCCAACGUUGUACCAGGAGACGGCAGUGGCGUGGAGAAGCAGAGGUGGUUGCGACGACCAAAACUGCAUCCACUCUCCAGCCACCAGAAGACAUCUACCAGUGGGACUGCAGAUGUGAAGCUAAGAGCAAAGCUUUUCCCACACAUGCCCUCCCCUGAAAAAGAACAACUCCUCCUUCCUAACUCCAGAGCCGCUGCUUGAAUAUCCCUUUAUCUGGUGAAACUGAGUCUCAAGGAAAGGUCGUCUUGGAGUUUCUGAAGCAAUCUGAUUCACUGAAGCAAAAACAAGCUCUCGGUUAUAACAGAGGAUGUUCCUUUCCCAUGGAAGGAGAGAGAUUCACAAAGCACUGCACACCACAAGGCUUCCUGUAUCCUGGAGGUUUAAAAUAUGCAGGAG